GCCAUUCUCACCCUUGAGACCUUGUUAUGAUGAGGGUAAAAGAUUUUCCAAGAACAUAUAAAACCCCAAAAGCAAAUAAUUUAUGUGAGAGGAGAUGAUAGGAACGAAAUAUGGGAAGUUGGCAAACAGUCAACGUCAGUGGUACAUGACUUAGCAGAUCUAAGAAUGCUGAGCGCGAUGUCGGCAGAGGGGAAACUAAUUGGCCAUGGUAGCCUCCCAGUGCUCCAGAAGAGGGAUGAGGCGGUGAAAAGAAGAGGGUUGGCUGAAAGUCAGUUUCCGAAGCGCAAAGUUUGGCAGCUUUGGUGUGGAAGCUGAGAAAGAGACGGUGAGAUGGCUGGUUACCCAAUGCGGAGAUCUGUGAUGUCUUUAUGUGAUUCUGGCCCCGUUGGAUGAAAAGUACUGUUAAAAAGAUGGAUGCCCUCAGGCUGCCUCUUCACACCGGCUCCCUCUGUGCAUGCGCCCCCUAGUGUCUCUUCUUUGUGUGUCCAAAUUUCCUUUUACAAGGACGCCAGUCAGGUUGGAUGAGGGCCCACCCUAACCAUCUCAUUUUAACUAAUCACCUCUUUAAACAUCCCAUCUCCAAAUACAGUCACACUGGAGAUACUGGAUGCUAAGACUUCAAUAUAUGAAUUUUGGGGGACACAAUUCAGUCCUUAGCAAAGACCUUGGCAUUUUACUUGCUUAACAAGGAAACUAUUUGAACAAACCAAAGUAAUAGAAUGCAUCAACUUUGUGGCAUUUUCAACCCUCCAAUUACUUUUCACUUUUCCCUGCUGCACCCAUAUCCCAGCCCGAAUGACCUGAGAGGGAACAACCCAGGUUGUGUCACUGGCGAGUACUGUACACAACAGCCAGCUCUUAGCUUUUACUAUGAAGAGUCCUUGCGACAAAAAUGUUCCCGGGGGCAGCCUCUUAUUUCUGGAAUGCUUUAGAAUCUGUUAAGGACUUCCACCAGGCCAACCAAGAUGUUAUCUUUUUCCACUCCAAAUAGGAGAUCUACGCUAGUGCUUAAGCCUUGCUCAUAUUAUAAAAUCUCCAAAUUGCUUUUAGUUCUUCUCUCUUAAUUACGAACUGACAGCCAAUGAUCAACAGAUGUAUUAGGAAAACCUCUAAAACGAGAGAGAAAAACCACAGUAAAAACAGACAAUGUAGGAAGUGUAAGAAAAGCCUAUUAUAAUUAAUAUCAUUAGACAGAUAAGAGAUUCCUUUCAUGAAACAAGGAUAUGAUAUUAUUUAAAAACAUGCAAAGAACGAGAAAGAGCUUUUGCACAUUAAAACACAUAAUAGCAUAAAUUAAAAAUUCAAUAUUAUGGGCUGGCCCAGUGGUGCAGCAGUUAAGUGUGCACGUUCUGCUUUGGUGGCCCGGGGUCCGCUGGUUUGGAUCCUGGGUGUGGACCUACAUACUGCUUGUAAAGCCAUGCUGUGGCAGGCGUCCUGCAUCAAAGUAGAAGAAGAUGGGCAUGGAUGUUAACUCAGGGCCAAUCAUCCUCACCAAAAAGAGGAGGAUUGGUAGCAGAUGUUAGCUCAGGGCUAAUCUUCCUCAAAAUAAAUAAAUUAAUUAGUUAAAUAAAAAUUCAAUAAUAAGGCAGAAAAUAAAGUCAAGAAAGUUUCACAGAAAGCAAACAUCAAAGACCAAGAAACAGAAACUAUGAUAAAGAAGGUAAGAAAAUUAGAAUGUCAUGGAGGAUAUCUAAUCUAACUAAUAGGUAUUCUAGAAGAGAGGACAGAAAAGAAGGGAGGAGGAAAUGACCAAUGGAAUACUCUAAAGAGUUUCUUAAAACAAAGCGUGUGGUUUUAGAUAGAAAGGCCCAUAAGCACUCAGCACAAUAGAUAAAGACCCAAGUCAAGAAACUUCAUAAAACUUGACGUAUCAGACAUGAAGAGAGAUCCCCAAAUUGUCUAGGGUGAAAAACAUGUCACACACACACAAAAGUGGAAAUCAGAAUGGCACUGGCCCUUUUAACAGUAAUACCGUAAUGUAGAAGAUAGUGGAGCAAGAUCUUCAAACUUCUAAGGAUUUUGAAUCAACAAUUCUAAAAUUAUCAAUUAGGUGAGUAGGUAACACAAAUUCUUAGACACGCAAGUUCUCAAAAAAAAAUUUUGGAAAUUAGGUAAAGUAGGUGGGUGGCAUGUCCUUUCAUUGUCGUUUGGGACCAAAGGCUAUGCACAGAUACUGAGCCUGGGCAGUAUCAUCCUCAAGGGGAUACAAAUUAGUUCUUGGAGGGCAAAAAUAUCUUAGCUGUUAGAAUAGUUUGUGGUCCUCCAAAGCUCAGCCUUACUCUACCCUUAACUAAAGAAUUAAAUAAAAAUUCUUUAUAUUCAAUUUCUCCUUUUGAAUUUUCUUGGCUAUCACACCAG
rnacentral:lncRNA from 1 species